AACGCAGACUGGCUUAUCGCGUCCGAUUUAUCGGGCGAGGAAAGUCCGGGCAGCACAGAGCACCUUACUUCCUAACGGGAAGGCGGACGGCUGGGAACGGCCGUUCGACAGACAGGGCAACAGAAAACAUACCGCCAUUUUUUUAAUGGCGAAUGAGCGAAUGAGUGAAUGAGUGAAUAGCCAUCCGGCGUAAUAAAAGUAUUCCGUCAUUUCUAUCAUUCCGAAUAAGGCGUAGUCAUUCGGAACGAUAAAAAAACUUGAACUACAGUGUAUUAAAUAAGCUUGCGCCAGCUAUUCACUCAUUCGCUCAUUCACUCAUUCACUCAUUGAACUUGGUAAGGGCGAACCGGUGGGGUAAGAGCCCACCGCCCGGCGGGUGACCGACGGGGCACGGCAACCCUUAGGGGCUGAAAGACCAAAUAAGCGUCGGACGCGCGGCUGCUCGUCGCCAGCGGUCUGCAAGGACCAACACCGACGCGGGUAGGUCGAACGAGGUGGUCGGUGACGGCCAUCCCAGAUAAAUGAUAAGCCAGCCAGCAAUGGUGGACAGAACCCGGCUUAUAGGUCUGAGUUGACU
rnacentral:RNase_P_RNA from 1 species